rnacentral:rRNA from 1 species
CCGACUGCUAUCGGAUGAGAUUUAGCCAUGCGAGUCGAGCGUCCCCUUGUUGCGGGGGCGUGGCGUACGGCUCAGUAACACGUAGUCAACCUGCCNUGGAGACGUGGACAACCCCGGGAAACUGGGAUUAAUCCAUGAUAGGUCAUCCCAUCUGGAAGGGAGGGAUGGCUUAAAGGGGUGCGCGAGCUUCUUUCGUGCAUUCGCUCCAGGAUGGGACUGCGACCGAUCAGGCUGUGGCGGGGUAAUGGCCCACCAAACCUGUAACCGGUACGGGCCUUGAGAGAGGGGGCCCGGAGAUGGACACUGAGAGAAGGGUCCAGGUCCUACGGGGCGCAGCAGGCGCGAAACCUUCGCAAUGCGCGAAAGCGUGACGAGGUUAAUCCGAGUGAUCCCCGCUUAGGGGAUCUUUUUCCAGCUGUAAAAAGGCCGGGGAAUAAGGGGAGGGCAAGUCUGGUGUCAGCCGCCGCGGUAAUACCAGCUCCUCGAGUGGUCGGGGCGAUUAUUGGGCCUAAAGCAUCCGUAGCCCGUUCUGUAGGUCUUCCGUUAAAUCCAGCGGCUUAACCGUUGGCAGGCGGAGGAUACCGCAGGACUAGGAGGCGGGAGAGGUGGGCGGUACUCUACGUGUAGGGGUAAAAUCCUUUGAUCCGUAGAAGACCACCAGUGGCGAAGGCGGCCCACCAGAACGCGCUCGACGGUGAGGGAUGAAAGCUGGGGGAGCGAACCGGAUUAGAUACCCGGGUAGUCCCAGCCGUAAACGAUGCGAGCUAGAUGAUCCAAUCGCAAAUCGCGAUUGGAGUGUCGCAGGGAAGCCGUUAAGCUAGCCGCCUGGGGAGUACGGUCGCAAGACUGAAACUUAA